rnacentral:rRNA from 1 species
AUUGAACGCUGGCGGAAUGCUUUACACAUGCAAGUCGGGCGGCAGCGCGGGGGCAACCCUGGCGGCGAGCGGCGAACGGGUGAGUAACACAUCGGAACGUACCCAGUUGUGGGGGAUAGCCCGGCGAAAGCCGGAUUAAUACCGCAUACGACCUGAGGGUGAAAGUGGGGGAUCGCAAGACCUCACGCAGUUGGAGCGGCCGAUGGCGGAUUAGCUAGUUGGUGGGGUAAAGGCCUACCAAGGCGACGAUCCGUAGCUGGUCUGAGAGGACGACCAGCCACACUGGAACUGAGACACGGUCCAGACUCCUACGGGAGGCAGCAGUGGGGAAUUUUGGACAAUGGGGGCAACCCUGAUCCAGCCAUUCCGCGUGAGUGAAGGAGGCCUUCGGGUUGUAAAGCUCUUUCGGCAGGAACGAAACGGUGAAGGCUAAUACCCUUUAUCAAUGACGGUACCUGAAGAAGAAGCACCGGCUAACUACGUGCCAGCCGCCGCAGUAAAAC